GAAAUGCGAUAAGUAAUGUGAAUUGCAGAAUUCAGUGAAUCAUCGAAUCUUUGAACGCACAUUGCGCCCGCCAGUAUUCUGGCGGGCAUGCCUGUUCGAGCGUCAUUUCAACCAUCAAGCCCCGGGCUUGUGUUGGGGACCUGCGGCUGCCGCAGGCCCUGAAAACCAGUGGCAGGCUCGCUGUCACACCGAGCGUAGUAGAUUCUCAUCUCGCUCAGGGCGUGCUGCGGGUUCCGGCCGUAAAACAGCCUUAUUUUACCCAAGGUUGACCUCGGAUCAGGUAGGAAGACCCGCUGAACUUAAGC
rnacentral:misc_RNA from 1 species